CUUUUAUUGGACAUUGACCGUCAUAUAUUGCGAUUUUAUUGGACUUUAAUUUUGUGCACCUAAUUAACGUUAACCUCCAAUAAAAAUCACAACAAAUGACGGUUAACGUCC
rfam:Glycine soja cultivar W05 scaffold4176_14, whole genome shotgun sequence.